rnacentral:rRNA from 1 species
AUGAAGUGGCAUCUUGUAUAUUUCGUCCCAUGCUUCAUGCACUCAUUAUGGUGGCUUCAGAGUCCUGGAAUCAUCACUUGUAACUCCGUUCUUGUUCUCCUUGCGCAUGCCAUCAUCUUCAUGCUUGAACUUGCUCUAAGGUUCAUCUUUCUUGUCCAAGCUAGGCCCUUCAUUUGUAAGCAAAACAAAUGUAUCCAAUUUAGGCAGCAUCAUAUUCUCAUGAACAUUAGAAUCGUUACCAAGAAACGGAAGUACCUGAUAAUUCAAUUGGCGUGCGCGAGCUCUAGUAAUCGGUCUAGUGUGUAUAGCAGCAGGGGCUGUGGGUGUAACAAUGGUAUUGAUGUCCUCAUCAUCCUUCCCUUUUUGAAAUGA